CCAUUUUGGAGGGAAGCUUUCCAAACUCUCCCUGACACUGAGGCAAGAGAAGCGCGGGGAUCAAACAAACCAUUGAUACCCCGUUUGUUCCCCGCCGUAAAGGAUGAUAACCGAGAGGCUGCGAUACGAAUCUACGUUUCUAAGCGAAAACGUUAGUCUAUCCACCUCGGGAGUACUCCCGCCACGGUGAAAAUCAAAGGAAUCGACGCGGGCCCGCACAAGCAGAGGAACAUGUGGGCUAAUUCGAUGAUACGCGAGGAACCUCACCUGGGAUUGAAAUGUAGAUGCCGACCGUAGAGAUAAGGUUUUUCCUUCGGGACGUCUAUGUAGGUGUUGCACGAUCGUCGUCAGCUCGUGCCGUGCGGUGUCGGCGUAAGUGCCAUAACGAGCGCAACCCACGUUGUUAGUUGCUAACAGAUUAAGGCGAGGACUCUAACAAUACAGCCGGCGUAAGCCGUGAGGAAGGUGUGGAUGACGUCAAAUCAGCACGGCCCCUACAUCCGGGGCGACACACGCGUUACAAUGGUAGGGACAACGGGCAGCUACUUGGCGACAAGAUGCUAAUCUCUUAAACCCUAUCCCAGUUCGGAUCGGAGUCUGCAACUCGACUCUGUGAAGCUGGAUUCGCUAGUAAUCGCGCAUCAGCCAUGGCGCGGUGAAUACGUUCCCGGGCCUUGUACACACCGCCCGUCAAG
rnacentral:rRNA from 1 species